rnacentral:tmRNA from 1 species
GGGGGUGAUGGGCUUCGAUAGAAUUUUAAAAUUAAAUAUGCAGGCCGAGGAUAUCUCGUAACCUCGUAAUUUCCCCGCGUAAUGCGGGGUAAAAAUCCUCGAGAUAAGGCAAAAUAACUGCCAAAACAAACUUAAAUCCUGCUUUCGCUUUUGCUUAAGCAGCAUCGGCUGUCCAAUGUCUAAUAAGGCAAAUCCGGUGUCAACCAUUAGGCUUUAACCCGUUGAAUUCUUCGCUCCGGGCGGAAAUCAAAGAAGAAACAGAAAAUUUCUUGUUUUGAUUGCUUUAAGAGAAUUUUCUGAAAAAACUAAACAAUCUAAGCCCGUAGCAAUAUUUAAUUUUUUAAAUUCUAGAUGCGAGUUCAACUCUCGCCACUUCCACAU